AGAUGGCAGGCGGAUAUUCUGAGAGAGCAUCAACGUGCAUCCCGGAUCUGGAAUAAUUGUAUGUUUUCUCACAUGAAACGGUGUCUCCCACACGGGCACCGCUUAUGGAGAACCCAAGAGUUUGCACCUUCAUCUGAAGCGGACAGAUGAGCUUCACUAGGGGAUCUAACGGUGGAGAGUGUGGUCAGAGGAGCUGCUACCGGGAGCCGAGUCAGAACCCCGCAACGGGCACAGGAAGAGAAAACACGGCGUUACUGAAUGCGAUGGUACCAAUAGGUCCCUCCUGCAUUCUAAGAAAUGAGCAAAGGCGAUGAUUUCUCUUGCCCAUCGGCUGUGACCGUGUGCAAGCCCUGCGACGGACCAGGAUCCCAUCCUAGCGUCCCCCCGCCCCAUGCCCUGUGUUUCCUGGGAUAGGCUCCAAUCACACCGUGACCCUGUAGAGCAGAACUGGGCAAAAGUCAGCCCACUGGCCAUAUCCGGCUCGCGGCGCUAUUUUCACUGGCCCGUGCAAUCGCUGCAAUGGAAACAAAAUGGCUUUCAAGGGAUAUGAAAAUAAUCAUUUAAAAAUGGUUCCUGCUGACAUGGUGAAGCUUGGAUUUGGCCCUCCACAGAAAAUAAUUGCACAAGCCUGCUGUAGAGGGUAAGCGGUUACAAUUAAUGGAUGGAUGAAUAUUCCAUUUAACAGUGACAAACCUUAGCAUCUGUAAUUCUGACAUUAAGCUAUUUUAAUUAAUAUGUUGCUAAUAUUUUGCAUAAUUAGCAUGAAAUUACUUUGAACCUCAUAACAGCUUUUUUACUGCUAAACUUUUUAAACGUCUGUUAUGUUGAUAAUGUAUUUAGCAUUAUAAUAUAUUUCAUAUUACUGGGUUUAAAAUCUUUUUAAUUUUCACUUCUCCUAAUUUAAAUACAACAUGUAGGGUUCUCGAGGGAUUUUUGGGGGGUGAAUUUGCAGGUGGGUAUUUUCAGUUCCGUAACUUUCUGGAAGAGCAAACAGAACAGACUGAUACUGUGUCCUUUUGUCUUUGAGAGUGUGAUCUGCAGAGGGCUGAGAAACAUUUCUCAUCAAUCUAUUACACCAUUCUGUAGGAAAUUGACUGAGGUUGGUUUCGGAUGAAGAAACUAAUGGAUUGCAUUGGUAACUGUGCUAAAAACAAACAUCAACGUGAAAUUCAAAUACUACUACUGUUCCCUCAAAUUAGUAUUCAUUAUUUGCCAUUGGGAUUAACUGCGCUUCAAUUAUUUGAUAUGCAUUUCUAAAUGUUGUCUGUUAUUGAAAUCAUAUUAAUUUUGAGUGUCGCCCUUUGUUUACCCAGAGUUGAUUCAAAAUUGAAAUCCCUGGUACAAUAGGAGUGAUGUUUGAUAUUUACGAAAAACAAUUAGAUUUUCCACAAAAGCGAGUGAUCAUGAUACUCUGGAGAAGGAUCUGGAGAGUAUCUUUAGGCUCUGUGUGAUGUCAGAACAAGGAAAGAAAUAUUAUGAAGUAUUUUUGUUGGACCGACUUCCUACAGCCUCAUUUUAAUUCUUAUAGCCUGUGAGAGGUGAGUGGUGGACUUUGGCCCUUUGCUCUUCAAACCUUGUAAUACAAAUAAUUCAGGAAUAUAUGGUGUGACCCCUAAUAUAUAUACAAAACAGGUUAUACCACAGUGAUAAAAAAAUAGACCUGGAAAAUAUAUAUAGUGAAAUAAAUUCUUAGAAUUUUAGAGCACACUUUGCUUGAUAAUAAUGUUAAAAAAAUUAACAAUAGCAACAAUACAAAAACAAUAACAAAACUUAUCCCAUUAACAGGUUGAUGUGCCGGCUUAGUGGACAGUUCUGAGGUCUCAUAUG